GAACCAGCCACCCCGGGAAGCCAGCUUGGUCUUGCUCUCCACCGGGGCCCUAUCCCCAACUCUUACCAAAUGCAGGUGCCAUGACCAGAAAAGGAUUUCGUACAAGCUCCCAGCCCCUCUGGAUGGUGUUGGCAGUCCAUUCUCCACUGCUGUGAUGAGGAAAGAUAAAUUGGCAAGCUGGAAACCAUGGACCAUUAACGAAGCACUCAAGGCAAGGACUUAGCCCUUUGGCAGACCUCCUGGCAUUCUCUCCCACACACGGUGUUGUGGCCAUUCAAAGUGAUACUUGUGGACUGGAACCUGCAGCCAUGCCCAAGCCAUAGGGAAAGGGGACACAGUCCUGAGUUUACUUCAGGACACCACGUCUCUGAGAUCAGGACUGUCCUGAGGGUGCAGCUUGUUAAGCACCAACAGCAACCUAAGAAGAAUUCUAUCAUGCUGUCCCAGAUGAAGAGACAGAGGUCGGAGUGACAUGUACCAUUCAGCUGUGCAGAAGAAUCGAAUUCAACGUACCUGGAUCCAGAAAGUCUCAGAGGUUUUUCUGUCCCAUAACCUUGCCUGAGCCACCUAAAGUACUUUAACAAAUAGCAAUGUGGGUUAUAUAUCACUAGCAAAGGAUUCUCAACUUUUCUUAAAAUGAAUGUACCCUGAAGGAGACAUUUUGGACCUUUGUUUUCCGAGUCACCACCCCACGACACUUUAAUCUCACAGAUGUACUGUCUGCUCAUGUACCAGCGGUAUCCUCGCACUUCAAACAUAGACGGUGUAAGACUCACCCCCUCCACCAAGAACCGAUUUUAACUCUGGUAGGGGUGAUGUUCCUCCCCCCUUGAAAACAUGCUCUGGACUCAGUCACAAAUACUUUCUGA